ACAGAAAUAAAAUGGAAGAAACCAAAGGCUUAAACUGAAACAGAAAAAGUGAAGAGGAUGGACUCAUUUGCCUAUGUUCCUUCCUAUUCCAUAGUAUUUAACCACCUGGUUUUCUUUCCUAAGGAAGCAAGGUUUUAAGGGCAGUGUUAUAAUUUGGUCUUUUUUUGUGCCUUUUCUUUGGCACUGUGCCCAUUUAUAUAUUGUAUAAAAGUAACCUUUUAUUUUA